rnacentral:rRNA from 1 species
UUCGCAAUGCCCGAAAGGGUGACGAAGCGACGCCGCGUGUGGGAAGAAGGCCUUCGGGUUGUAAACCACUGUUGGGAGUUAGGAAGUGUGGAGGUGUUAAUAGCGCUUUCACUUGACUAAAGCUCCAGAGGAAGCCACGGCUAACUCUGUGCCAGCAGCCGCGGUAAUACAGAGGCGGCAAGCGUUGUUCGGAAUUAUUGGGCGUAAAGAGCACGUAGGCGGCUAUGUAAGUCGGUUGUGAAAGCCUUCCGCUCAACGGGAGAACAGCAUCCGAUACUGCAUGGCUUGAGUGCGGGAGGGGAGAGUGGAACUUCUGGUGGAGCGGUGAAAUGCGUAGAUAUCAGAAGGAACGCCGGCGGCGAAAGCGGCUCUCUGGCCCAUAACUGACGCUGAGUGUGCGAAAGCUAGGGGAGCAAACGGGAUUAGAUACCCCGGUAGUCCUAGCCGUAAACGAUGGGCACUAAGUAGAG